rnacentral:rRNA from 1 species
CAGUCGCCGCGGUAAUACGGAGGGGGCUAGCGUUGUUCGGAAUUACUGGGCGUAAAGCGCACGUAGGCGGCUUUGUAAGUUAGAGGUGAAAGCCUGGGGCUCAACUCCAGAAUUGCCUUUAAGACUGCAUCGCUUGAACGUCGGAGAGGUGAGUGGAAUUCCGAGUGUAGAGGUGAAAUUCGUAGAUAUUCGGAAGAACACCAGUGGCGAAGGCGGCUCACUGGACGACUGUUGACGCUGAGGUGCGAAAGCGUGGGGAGCAAACAGGAUUAGAUACCCCUGUAGUCCCUGUCUCUUAUAC